rnacentral:lncRNA from 1 species
GGGAAUUUGAGACUGAGUGGUUUCAAGCGGGUAUUUGCCGAACUGAAACAGCAUAAAUCUUUUACCUUGUAAACCUGAUUCCCCGCAUUUCUAGAUUGCAUAGGAAGUGUUUGACGAAAAGACUGAACAAAAAGAAAACUGCCAAGUCUGUGAGUAAAAGAUGAGAACAAUAUAUUUGUACCGACUGUUUCAACAAUUUAACUCCGGAAGUGAAAUAAAAUUCGGUUGCUUUGAAUCAAACUUGUUUUCGUUUUUCUGAGCCCGCCACUUUCCUUUUAAUCUGUGUUUUGCAUCAUAUAUUCUUAGAUGAGGACUCAC